UCUGCUUUUUUCCCAGUUCCUCUCAGCAGCAAGAGUUGACUGACUAUAAAAGUGGUUGCUUUAUGGAUUGGAAGAUUGUAUUAAUAUUUCCUCUUAUGCCCUCAGCCUUGUGCACAAAUGAUUAUUUUCUUCUUCAUCUUCUGCUUUACUGACUUUAGAUCUCCGCAAUUGGAAGGGACAGGACAGUGACUCACCUGGAAAUGGAGAGGACACAAGCACAGGGAAGAAGACCAUGAAUGGUACAGAAGGUCACAGUGUGUGGUCAGUCACCACCACUGCAGGAGCAAGAAGAAUCCUUUGAGGGCAGCCUUGCUGAUCCCUACAGCUGAAAGAGAAGGUACUAAAAGAGGACUUUGUGACCUGAUAAAGCAUCAUGCAACAGGAUUGUCCACCUGCCCCACUUCUCCUGUCUGACAUGACCUGGAAUUGUUUCCUGUGGAGCACUAGCCGACUUGAAUGCCUGACAUUGCUAAAGAAAGACCUGUGAUAAAGGAUUGGUGGCCUCAAAGGAGUCUUUGAUGAGAAGGAACUGUGCUGAUUCUCACCUGCUGAGGCAGUGAUAAUAAAGGAUCCAGGUGGGAACAAAUCUUUUUCCUUCAUGAUAUUCACAGUGUAUCCAUCUAACCCACAGUGCAUGUCUCUCAGACAAGCUUAGGAGAAAAUGAGAGUUAAAAAGACUUACUGGAACAUAUAGUCCAUUUUGCAGACAGUUAUUUCUGUAAUCCCUUUAAAAACAUGAUCAAGCUCCGCAUUUGAACUGGCUAGAAAUUGUGAUAAGAGCAACUUCCGGGAUGCUUUCAGUUUCUCUUUUUGAGUUACAUAUCUUUUUCAUAUUUACAGUCUAAAUAUAUUCACAGUCAAUUUAUUCUGCUCUUCUUCCCUCUCCCCUUGCCUGGUGGUUUAGAUAAAACAGUGCUCUUGAGCUGUUCACUGAUAAUUCCCUGUAAUCAUUCCGUCUUUCACUGUUAUUGAUAAUUGUGUAACUGUGAGGAGAACUAUUCCUUCUGUAAGGAAGCUGUUAAUGAAUUGUGUUUUAAAAGUUCUGAGUACUUCCCAGAGGAAUAGAAAAACUGCUUAAGAUUACAAGUGCUGUAUUUAUGCCAUCAUAGCUGCAGUUGUUUGUGGUCGUGUUGCACCUCAGCUCCUAAGCAGAGUGUCUCAGAAGCUAACAAGGUUGUUGCCAUGGUACUGGUGUUGGCACCCGGACAUUUUCUGGAGGUGGUGGUGAAGUUGUCUCAAAGCAGCACUAGUCUCAUCCUCUGACCUGAAUGUCUACUGGAAGGCACCAGGUCGUUCUGUGGGAAGCAUCAACUUCCCAGCAUCAUCCAGAAGGAAUAUAGCUGUUCUGAUCGGAGCCUGCUCCUUGGCAUGAACCAAUGUAUGUGAAAGCAAUUGGUAAAUUCUUUUCAGAAACACAAUCUCCAUCUGGCCUACAACGCUAAAACAUCUGCUCUCAUUCCUCCUCACUGUGGAAGACUGAUAGGGAUUUUCCUACGACUGGAACUCCUGUGCUGCAGGUUUGAGGUGAUGGUGAAAUAUUUCUGCAAGUGAAAAACCAAAGGGUGCAAAGUUUAAAUAUAAUAAAUCUAGGGACAUAUUAGUAUUUCUUUCAGCAUAAAAUGGAAACUGUGAAGCUGUCCCUGCUGGUUUCUCUCUCAGCCUUGAGAUUGUAUUUGAUUUUUUAAUGGGACUAUUGAUAAAAUUAGUUCUCUGCAGAUUUUUCCUUAUUCAUUUUGAUUUUGGUUGGUUUUUUGUUUGGGUUUUUUUUAGGGGGGGAGGGGCAUUCCCCUCAGGCUGUGUUGUGACCUACUGAGUUUAUAAUUAGAGGCAAACUGAAAUAGCACCACCAGAGAGUGCAGCAGUGAUCUCAUUAAAAAGUCAACAUUUGCUAAUAGAGAAAAACUGACGUUGAAAAUGCCUUUAGGUGGAAAUUCUUAACAAGCUGGCUUCACUAUAAUGAUCACUUACACACCUAUUAAGGUUGCAUUUCUUUUUGAGAAUUCAUCAGUUUAUUGUAAAAAUGCUGAAUAAAGGAGCCCUUUAUUUUCUAAUGUGUCACUUAGAAGUGGGCUAAGAUGCCAUUGUCUGCUACGGAAGCAGCAAAAUAAAAGGCUUAUAAGUUCUGAACUCUUUUUGACACCACAAUUAGUACUGCUGCAGUUUAACCAUCAGUUAAGAUGCCAUAAUUUACUACUGAAACAGAAAAGUGAAGGGUUUGUAACCCAUGAGCUUUUCUUCACACCACAACCACUAUUGCUGCAGAUUAACUAUCUAAUACCUAUUUUAGGUUGGUUAUUUGGCAUACUGUUUUAAAUAAAUGAAAAAAAAUCACUUAGGGCAGUGAGAAGGUUUAAUGUAGACUUACCGCAUUUAGAGUCUUUACAAAAAAGGAGAAAAGAGUUUUUCUUGGCUUCAUGUUGGGCUGCAGAUUUGAAGGCACCUGAAAGCCUUUCUGUGAGAAUGACAAGCUAUAAUAUCCAGCCUCCUUAGGUCGCUGGUUCAUUGCUCUUAGGUAUAAGUCUGCAAUGCACAGAAUGGUUGGUUAAAACCAACUCAGAGUUUCAGACUAGGUUUACUAAAAGCGAAGAAACUCCUCUGAGCUGUUUGUAGUUCCAUGAAAAAUGGAUGUAAGUCUUUAUGGGACUGACUGUGGCUGCCAAACCCAGAAAUGUAUGCUCACUUUGAGCAUAUAAGCAGUGUAUAUAUUCAUAGAGGCUGAAUUACACAGUAUUUAUCAUGCUCCAAGCUGGAUAUCUGAAUUGAGCACUUUGUGGGACAGAAACUUAAUGGAUUGGGGGAGAAGUUGUGCCACUUAAUGGCACGUGGUCAAGAUUACCAGGAAAACGCAGUGAACUAAGGGCUGGAAUGAAAGAUCAGUAAAAGAACAGGAUUGCAGAGAAGAAAUAACAUCUGAGACAGCCUUGGAAUUAAAGAUCAUUGGAGCAGACACAAGAAGACUGGAAGCACCAGGGGAGAGAAGGUAUGCAUUACAGAGAAAAACAGUGUGAAGGGAGAUACACAAACCUGGCUCUUACCUCCCUGAUUCCUCAUGCAGAGUGUUCUGUGAGAAAAUAUUCUGUUGUAUGAUUCAAGUCUAUCACGAAGUUACAGAAUCACAGGACAGAUUGGCUUGGAAGGGACCAUUAAAGGUCAUAUCAUCCAAACAUUCUGCCAUGGGCAGGAACACCUACCAUUAGACCAGGUUGCUCCAUGGCCUGUCCAACUUGGUCUUGAACACUUCCAGGGAUGGACAUCCACACAUUGCUCUCUGUGCAACCUGUUUCAGUGCCUAAGCAUUCUCAUAAUAAAAAAUAUAUCCAAUCUCAAUCUACCCCCUUUCAGCUGAACAUCAUAACUUAUUGUCCUGUCUCUACAGGCAUCAGUAUAAGGUUUAUUUUCACUGUAAUUUAAAUCAUCUUUAUAUACUGAAAGGCAGACACAGAAGGUUUCCCCAGAGCCUUUUCUUGUCUAGGGUGAACAUCUCCAACACUCUCAGCCUUGUAAGGGGGUUUCACCCUCUGAUCAUUUUAAUGGACCUCCUCUGGACCUGAACACACAGGUCUACCUAUUUUUUGUGUUUCCUAAAUGGAUGUCGUCUAGGUAUCAAGAGUAAGGCAAGAUUUGCCUUGUGGGAAAGAGAUCACCAAAACCUCCAGUAACAAUAAUAUUGUGCCUGAGUGAAUGGAACAAAGCUAGGUGAACUUCCAGAAAAUAAAGCCAAAUUUCUGUAACAGAAAUUCUGUGAAAGUGUCUGUCAUAUCACAGUAGAAGAAAGCAAGGAAAAA